UACACACAUGAUUGAAAGUCACUUUGGAUAAAAGCGUCUCCUAAAUGGCAUAUA
rfam:Salmo salar isolate Sally breed double haploid chromosome ssa29, whole genome shotgun sequence.